rnacentral:rRNA from 1 species
CAGUAGCCGCGGUAAUACGAGGGGGGCAAGCGUUGUUCGGAAUUAUUGGGCGUAAAGGGUGCGUAGGCGGCUUGACAAGUCUUGGGUGAAAUCUAUGGGCUCAACCCAUAGUCUGCACGGGAAACUGUCGGGCUUGAGAAUGGGAGAGGUGAGUGGAAUUUCCGGUGUAGCGGUGAAAUGCGUAGAUAUCGGAAGGAACACCUGUGGCGAAAGCGGCUCACUGGACCAUUUCUGACGCUGAUGCACGAAAGCUAGGGGAGCAAACAGGAUUAGAUACCCCAGUAGUCCCUGUCUCUUAUAC